rnacentral:rRNA from 1 species
AGGAAUAUUGGUCAAUGGCCGAGAGGCUGAACCAGCCAAGUCGCGUGAAGGAAGAAGGAUCUAUGGUUUGUAAACUUCUUUUAUAGGGGAAUAAAGUGGAGGACGUGUCCUUUUUUGUAUGUACCCUAUGAAUAAGCAUCGGCUAACUCCGUGCCAGCAGCCGCGGUAAUACGGAGGAUGCGAGCGUUAUCCGGAUUUAUUGGGUUUAAAGGGUGCGUAGGUGGUGAUUUAAGUCAGCGGUGAAAGUUUGUGGCUCAACCAUAAAAUUGCCGUUGAAACUGGGUUACUUGAGUGUGUUUGAGGUAGGCGGAAUGCGUGGUGUAGCGGUGAAAUGCAUAGAUAUCACGCAGAACUCCGAUUGCGAAGGCAGCUUACUAAACCAUAACUGACACUGAAGCACGAAAGCGUGGGGAUCAAACAGGAUUAGAUACCCUGGUAGUCCACGCAGUAAACGAUGAUUACUAGGAGUUUGCGAUACAAUGUAAGCUCUACAGCGAAAGCGUUAAGUAAUCCACCUGGGGAGUACGCCGGCAACGGUGAAACUCAAAGGAAUUGACGGGGGCCCGCACAAGCGGAGGAACAUGUGGUUUAAUUCGAUGAUACGCGAGGAACCUUACCCGGGUUUGAACGUAGUCUGACCGGAGUGGAAACACUCCUUCUAGCAAUAGCAGAUUACGAGGUGCUGCAUGGUUGUCGUCAGCUCGUGCCGUGAGGUGUCGGCUUAAGUGCCAUAACGAGCGCAACCCUUAUCACUAGUUACUAACAGGUGAAGCUGAGGACUCUGGUGAGACUGCCAGCGUAAGCUGUGAGGAAGGUGGGGAUGACGUCAAAUCAGCACGGCCCUUACAUCCGGGGCGACACACGUGUUACAAUGGCAUGGACAAAGGGCAGCUACCUGGCGACAGGAUGCUAAUCUCCAAACCAUGUCUCAGUUCGGAUCGGAGUCUGCAACUCGACUCCGUGAAGCUGGAUUCGCUAGUAAUCGCGCAUCAGCCAUGGCGCGGUGAAUACGUUCCCG